rnacentral:lncRNA from 1 species
AUGUUUCCGACUAUAAUGCUUCUUAAUUGCGUGCAGAUUUGCGAGAGCUCGAGAAGGGUCAUGAUUAGCACAGCUUUUCUCUGGACAUAUGUACACUUUAUUCUUCACCACUUCAUUCUUGUUUCUUUGCUUAAGAGUCUAUGGCAAGUUGUGUCCUCUUUUGUGAAGCUGCAAAUUCUGGUCUCUUAGAAAACCCUUAUUACAAAUCUCACAUACGAAUUGAUUCGUAGCCAUUAUUGAUGUUGGCGAUAAUGCGAUAACCUCGGCUUCUGGAUCUGUACAUAUAUAACACUACAAGAAAAAGAUCCUCAAGACGAGAUCAAUGGCAUAUACAACAGAUAUGAUGAAAUCCUUCGAAUAUAAACAUCAGUUUGUUCAGCCGAAUCGUUCUCCUUCAAUUAGGCUUUAUGAUUGAAUCUCUACAGCCACAAAGGAAUUCAAUUCUGUUCCAAACCUCAUGAAAUACAGACCGAUCAUUCUUCCAAAGCUCAUGAAACAUAUUCUCUCUCUUUCUCUUCCAAACCUCCGGCUCGUGUAUCGCCUGAAUGGGUUCAACAUUUCCGGUUAAGGCUAGGGUUCCGGCGAUUGAAUGUCAGUAACUGUGAAACCCUUCAUCGUCCAAACGCACAAAAACAAAGACUUGAUAAAUGUUCCUCCCAAAUCUUCUACACAGGAUUCCGAUUGAGACUUCCAGGGUUUGAUUACGUUCGGUAAUGAUGAUAAUUGAGUGAGACUGAUCUAUACCCGUGUUUAGAAUGUGUAAUCGGUGUUUAAAGGGAUGAAUUGAAGCUGAAGGCGCUGUCUUAAAGAAGCAGAUCAAGGAUGUUUUGACAGAAUGGACUUCAUAUGAGCAUGUAGCUAUUGCUACUUUGGAGACCGUCAAUGCCUUUAUGUUGCAAAGGUGUCGAAUAUGCUUCCCCUCUUGAAGCGUGGAAUAGGCGUGCAUCAUUCUGGGUUACUCCCCAUACUGAAAGAAGUCAUUGAAAUACUAUUCCAAGAAGGUCUAAUUAAGUGCUUGUUUGCCACAGCGACAUUUAGCAUAGGUCUCAAUAUGCCUGCAAAAACGGUUGUUUUUUUCAAAUGUUCGGAAGUUUGACGGCGAUAAAUUCAGAUGGCUAUCGAGUGGUGGAUAUAUUCAAAUGAGUGGUCGAGCGGGUCGUAGAGGAAUUGAUGAUCGUGGGGUCUGCAUAUCUUCCACCGCUAAAAUGAUGGUCAAAAGGAGCGCCGACUGUUUAAACAGCGCGUUCCAUUUAAGCUACAACAUGCUUUUGAAUCAGUUGAGAUGCAAAGACGGUGAUCCAGAAAAUUUGCUUCGUAAUUCAUUCUAUCAAUUUCAAGCUGAUCGAGCCAUCCCUGAUCUUGAGAGACAAAUGAAAGUUCUUCAGGAGGAAAGGGACCCAAUUCACAUUGAAGAAGAGGAUAGCUUAGAAAAUUAUUACUCUUUGUUGGAGCAAUAUAAAGACUUAAAGAUGGAUGUGCGUGACAUCAUCUUUUCUCGUAGAUAUUGCGAGUAAACAUUUUUCUCAACAAAAGUGCGUUACCAUUACCAGAAACAUUGUAUCAGGCAUAUACUUUGGAAUUGGAAGCUGAAGUUGCAAAACUAAAAGAAAUCAACCACGAAUUGCUUAAAAAACAGGAAGAGAUGAUGGAGAAUAAUCAGGUGUUUUAAGAAGUUAUCUGGUUAUGGUGAAAACAAAUUUAUUUCAGACUAAGGCGAGUAUGAGAGGGGUUUGAUAAUUCCGGUCUGGAUUAUGAUUGUAAAACCGUAUCCAUACAUGGUCCCAUAUCUGUCAGGUACCCGAUGGCUGAGGCGCUGAUCAGGGGGCUUCCGAUCAUCCUCAACGACUAUAUUCCAGGACAUGAAAAAGGAAACGUCCCAUAUGUGGUGGGCAAUGGGCGGGUGUGUUCACCCGAAGCCCAAAAGAAACAGCCCAGAUAGUGGCUGGAUGGUUCAGCACCAACUCAGAUGAGCUCAAGAAAAUGUCCGAAAACAGCCUGAAGUUGGCUCAACCAGAGGCUGUGUUUGACAUCGUGAGGGACAUUCAUGACUUGGCGGGUCAACGUGGGCCCCUCGCUGACGUAACGUAUGUUUUAACAUCAUCGUUUACAAACUUAAUUUAGUAAGAUGUAUAUGUAAUUUGUAGAAUAUGCUUUGAUUACCUACCAUUUUUUGAGCUUGGGAAAAGCUUUUGUGUGGCAAAUUGUAAGUUGUGUGAUUAUGUAUUAAUUUAAUUAGGGUGUUUUAGAACUUUAAGAAGGUGUGCCACUUUUUAGUUUAAUUGUGACUGUAAAAAAUGUAAAAAGAAUCUUGUUUAAUCAAUGAUCAUGGUUUGGUUUAUCAAGUAA